CUACAAGCAACCCUUCUUCUUUUUCGAAAACAAUGGAGUCAGGACAAAAUAGUCCGAUUCAACAAGAGAUAUUAAAAUGGAUACAUCUCAAACACAAGGAAAAAAGGUUGUGGGACAAAAUUCUAGCCUUGGAAAGGAAGUCUGGGAUGGAUCAGUUCAUGACAAGAAUGAGGGCCACGUUCCCCAUGAGGUGGCCAUGUGGUAGCCCAGAAAAGAUUCAAUCUCUGGUGCACAAGCUUUCGCAACAAGGGAAAGAUCCAGCAGACAACAGACAGAUGGGUGGUCUAAUGGCCCCGCAGACACCAGAAGAUGACAAAAAACAAGGUGACACUGAAUUAAAAUCUGCAAGGCUCAAAUGGACACCCCAAGACAUCCAUAAAUGUGCAGUCCAAGUGAAAAGAGAGUGGGAAUCAUGGGAUCGAUGGAGGCCAGAGUGGGGUUGUCUUUGCCCCAAGAGAGCAGACGUUGUGAGGCAUGAAGGGAGAACGGCACCCCUGCCUAUGACAGUUACGUAUAGAACGGACGAAGAGCUGACAAAGCUGGAGACACUGAGGAUGAGGGUAGCACUGCUGCAACAGGAGGUUUGUCUAGAAACGGCUUUGUCCGACACUUUGUCUCCACACCUUUCUUCAGUUGUGCAAAAACCUGUAAAUCCCAGUCUUCUGAGAGACCUCUAUUCUGUGCUGGGGGAAGGAGGGGAGGGGUUUCCUGCCAUAGUACUUGUCUCUGAACCUGACUCCUGAGAAUACACAGUGGACCCUGUUGGGUUCCUAAACUCUGAUCUGGCCAAGUUGUAACCAUCUGUUGCCCUCCAUAUUUGUGAGAGAGUGUUAUAGAGUUGAUUGGUGUGGUCUACAAAACUCAUGCUCACAGAUGACAUGUGGAUGGCACGAGCUGCACCAGACUGGCCGACAGGUGUUGCUGGGUUCACACAGCAGGCCGUGGGUGUAGCAGCCCUCCUGAACACUAGCAGAGUAGGGUGAGUCACAGAAGAUGCUCUCUGGGUGCCUGUUUCUCUGUAUGCUUCAUGCUAGAAUACAAAAUCAACAUAUAGACAUUUUCAGUCAAUUCUAUUCAAAGCAUUGGCUGUCCUUGUUACGCAGUUAGUUUUUUGAGUUUCAUGCCAUCAGCAGAUUGAGAGGCAUGUGCUUCCUGUGACCCACAAACUAAAGCUGUUGCCUGUCCUCUCC
ensembl:lncRNA